rnacentral:lncRNA from 1 species
CCUUGUUGAAGUCUGAUACUAUUUCAGUCUCUUCACCAUACAAUCAGAAUAGUGGGAUUGUGUGCUUUGGGACUUGAUUAUGUAAACCUAAUGAAAUCUAGGACCACUGGUGCUUAAAGCAACAUAUGUAAUCAAAAAUAUUAAUAUUGUGCAAACAGAUAUGCCAUGUGAAUUUCUUGUCAAAAAUAUGCCAUCUUUGUUAACAAAUGUUCGUAGCCUCCCAGUUAAGAUAGACACAACUUCAUUUUAUGUAUUAUUGUGUAAUGUCUUGUAUCCACAGAUAUUCACCGAAGAAGCAUUUGUAAUUUAGGACACAUGAUAUUUAUUGCAUGCUGG